rnacentral:sRNA from 1 species
UAGAAUAUGACUUGAUGUCAUGUGUAUGAUAGAGUAUAAGAACUUAAUCCGCAACCGGAUCUUAAAAGCCUAAGUAGUGUUUCCUCGUUAGAAGAUACAAAGCCAAAGACUCAUAUGGAUUUUAGCUACACCAUCAAAGCUUUGAGAAGCAAGAAGAAGCUUGGUUAGUGUUUUGGAGUCAAAUAUGACUAGAUGUCAUGUGUAUGAGUGAGUAUAACAACUAGAACCGCAACCGGAUCUUAAAAGCCUAAGUAUUGUAUCCUUGUUAGAAGAUAUA